CUCCGGUUGAUCCUGCCGGACCCGACUGCUAUCGGAUUGGGAUUUAGCCAUGUUAGUUGUGCGUUCCUUGGCUACAGGGGACGCAGCAUACGGCUCAGUAACACGUAGUCAACCUGCCCUGGAGACGUGGACAAACCCGGGAAACUGGGGCCUAUCCGCGAUAGAUGACCUCAUCUGGAAGGAGUGGUCGUCCAAAGGGCGGCACGGGUAUGCUCCGUGCCUUUCGCUCCAGGAUGGGACUGCGGCCGAUCAGGCUGUUGGCGGGGUAAUGGCCCACCAAACCUGUAACCGGUACGGGCUUUGAGAGAAGGAGCCCGGAGAUGGACACUGAGACAAGGGUCCAGGCCCUACGGGGCGCAUCAGGCGCGAAAACUUCGCAAUGCGCGAAAGCGUGACGAGGUUAAUCCGAGUGACUCCCGCUGAGGGGGUCUUUUGUCAGCUGUAAAUAGGCAGGCGAAUAAGGGGAGGGCAAGCCUGGUGUCAGCCGCCGCGGUAAUACCAGCUCCUCGAGUGGUCGGGGCGAUUAUUGGGCCUAAAGCAUCCGUAGCCGGUUCCGUAGGUCCUCUGUUAAAUCCAACCGCUUAACGGUUGACCUGCAGAGGAUACCGCGGGACUAGGAGGCGGGAGAGGCGGACGGUACUCCGCGUGUAGGGGUAAAAUCCUUUGAUCCGCGGAAGACCACCAGUGGCGAAGGCGGUCCGCCAGAACGCGCUCGACGGUGAGGGAUGAAAGCUGGGGGAGCGAACCGGAUUAGAUACCCGGGUAGUCCCAGCCGUAAACGAUGCUAGCUAGAUGAUUCAUUCGCAAGUCGCGAAUGAAGUGUCGCAGGGAAGCCGUUAAGCUAGCCGCCUGGGGAGUACGGUCGCAAGACUGAAACUUAAAGGAAUUGGCGGGGGAGCA
rnacentral:rRNA from 1 species